rnacentral:rRNA from 1 species
AUGGCAGAAGAAGAAGAAGAUAUAGAUGAUGACAAUGAUUCAGAUGAUUCAGAUUUUGAUCCUAGUGCCAUAGUAGAUAGUGAUUAUGACAUGAAUGAUGGUGAUGAUGAUCUAUAUGCAGAUAAUGUUGACAUGGAUGAACCUGAAGACAAACAAGUGAGAGGGAAACAAUUAGUUAAAGAUAGUGCAAAAGAAAAGGAUUCGGAUAAAGGAAAAGAUAAAGUUAGAGACAAAGGCAAAAAUAAGCAAGAGGAUGAAAUAUAUGAGUCUGAAGGUGAUGAUCAAUGGCCACUAGAUGAAGACGAUGAAGAAUUGUACAUGAAGUUCAAGGCAUUUAGGGAAGAGGACCUACACUGUCCUAAAUUUCAUGUUGGCCAAGUUUUCCAAACAGUUGAGCUACUGAGGAGAGCCAUAAAAGAGUAUUGCUCCAAGAAUAGAGUUGAUGUUAAGUUGCCUGUGAAUGAUAGAAAAAGAUUGAAGGCCAAAUGUGAUGACUGUACUUGGUAUUGUUGGGGAACGUAG